rnacentral:rRNA from 1 species
GAUGAACGCUAGCGGCGGGCCUAAUACAUGCAAGUUGAACGGGAUUGUUGGUAGCAAUAUUGACAUGAGAGUGGCGCACGGGUGCGUAACACGUAUGUAACCUACCUUUAACUGGGGCAUAGCUUCGAGAAAUCGAAAUUAAUACCCCAUAACAUUUAGAAAAGGCAUCUUUUCUUUAUCAAAGCUCAGGCGGUUAAGGAUGGACAUGCGGUGCAUUAGCUUGUUGGUGAGGUAACGGCUCACCAAGGCUACGAUGCAUAGGGGGUCUGAGAGGAUGAUCCCCCCANACUGGUACUGAGACACGGACCAGACUCCUACGGGAGGCAACAGUAGGGAAUAUUGGGCAAUGGACGAAAGUCUGGACCCAGCCACGCCGCGUGAAGGAUGAAUGCCCCUCUGGGUUGUAAACUUCUUUUG